ACAAAGAAAAUGUUCUAUACCUCAACUCGUUCUUUUUUCAUGUAGUCAAAACAACAGUGCAGUGAAAGGGAAUCCAACAUGUCCAAAUGGGACUCCGAAAGUAUGCAAUGGGCAGCCUUAAAAGUUGCAGGAAAAGUUGGAGCUUCUUUAAUUUUUCCUUGGGCAGCCGCAGCUUUAGAUGCAGCUGAAGGUGUAUACAAUUUAAGUCAGGGAGACACGAAAGGCGCCUGCGUGAACUUUGGAUCGGCAGUCGUAAGCUGCGUUACUGGCGGCUUACACAUAUCUGGAAAUGAAGUCGUUACCGAGACGACUAAAAAGAUGACUCAGAAAACCACAGAGACUUUUGUAAAGAACAAUUUAGCAACGAGAGUUGUUGACAAAGCUGUUACUGAAACUUGUAAGACAAGUUUUAAACAGACCCAACUUGAAAUUGUCAAGACAGUAGGGUUAACAGAAUGCGGAAAUGAAGGCCUUAAGAACUGUAUGAGAACAUGCUAAAGAUGGUAGAUCAUAUAGUACAGUAUCCUCAAAGGAGGUUGAACAGGCAUCGGAAAACGAAGUUGUGAAGGAUACUGAUAAGGAAACCAUCGAUGUAAUUACAAAGGACGUUGUUCAGUUUACUGCUGAAUAGGUCACAAAGAAAGUUGUCAAAUUUUUCGUAAAUAUAGACAUAUUUCUAUUUAAAUAAGUAUUGGACGCCUUCAAAAAUACUUACCAGAAAACCUUAGUUCUCAGAAUAAACUAUUCUUAUACCAUAAGACAGAAGUUCCCAUCUCAGCUAUUUAUAUUGUUUUAAUUAUGUAUGAUUAUAUUUCAAAUUUAAACACAUAAGAUUUAAUUCUUUGGUGUGUUUAACAGAAUUCUUUUUGUUCUGGAUAUAGGAGGAAAGGUAAAUUAAAUGUCCAAGAUAACAGUGCUGUGUCAUUCAUUUAAAACUAAUAACAGAUGAAAAAUACUUAAAUCGAAUAAAUUUUCACACAGCAUAUACAUCUUUUCUCUUGUAUACGAUUUUUGUUUCUGUUGAAUGAUUCGCAUCUCCCUGUAUAUAUCAAUUAGUCAUUAGAAAUUAUAUAUUGUCUGUUAUAAACGUGAUUCCCGACUGAUUUUAGGUUUAUCAUGUGACGGUACUUUAACACAUUUUGAAAUGGAUGCCAGCUCACGAAGUUAAUUGUAACUUAUAAAAUGCAUCAAUGGUUUGGGACCGUAUAAUUUUUCCAAGAAUCAAUCGAGUGGAAAUGUCAUCAACAUCAACGAUCAACAAUGUUGACAUCCAGUAAAAAAAAACAUAUGAUUACAAAACACAAGACAUAUUUUGUUCAGAACAUUUGUAUUUGGUUAUACAGAAACGAAGCAAAAUAUCCAAAUGAAGUUUAAAAUGACAAAAUCUGUUCUAGGUUCAAAACAAACUAUCAUCUUAUAUUGUAUAUCCCAGUAAUGUUAACCCUACCCUCUUUAGCAUGUAACAAUGUUAUUUUGUAUAAAGUUUGGUAUAUAUACGUUUGUUUGUAGAUUAGACUAACUUUCCUUUUAUUAUGCACAUAUUUUUGUAAUAUUUCAAGCUUUCUAUGAUAUCAGUCGUAAAUGUAUUUGAGAUACUUGUGUGUAAUAUAUAACAAUUUGACGACAGUUAUCAUAACUCCUUACAUGUUUUAUUAACAAGACGACUAUGAAAUAUCGCCUCUGGCUUAACAGGUUUUCAAUUCACCAUAAAAUGUGUCUGUGAUUUUUUUAAUCAGGUGUUACAUUAAAUAACCACGUACUCAUAAUUAAGAUACUAAUAAUUGUAAACCAAAUAAGAUUAUUUAAAUAGCCACGUCAAAAUAGAUAAUAAUAUUCUCUCUUAGAAUAGAUGUCAAUUCUGAUAUUGUUUUAUCAUUGGCAUAAACAGCAAAUUGUUUGUCAAUUCUCAUAUUUAAUCCAGUCAAUUACUGAAUUGGGUAAAUAUUAAAGCACUGCUUAGUAUGAGACCCUUUGUUCAUGGAGUUUGGUACUUUUUUAUAUCCUAUCGUAGUAAUUUGUUGUUAAUUAUUCACCAUUUUUCUUUCCCAUAUAAGGUAUAAAGAGGAACAUUAUGAUUUGAAGUUGAGAAAUGACGUGUAUAUAUUUAGAUUAUUUUAAAGAAAAUAGUUUAAUUUUGGUUAAUUAGUGUGAAAUCAAAUAUCAAUUCAUUUAGACUAUUUGUUAAUAAAAACAAUUCAUUCAUAAAAAAGCUUGUAGUGGUAUGAAUACACACAUUAACUUUACCAUAAUUCGAGAAGAAGACAAAAGUAUGUCUUUAUUCGAAAACAUUAUUUUGCAUAUUGCAAAUAAACUUAACUUCUUUAAGACAGUUCGUGUUUAUCCUGAUAAAGCCGAAUUGAUUCAUUGAGCCAUGGAGAAAUAUAAAAAUGUUAAGUACUUUCAGAUAAAAAUACAAAUAGCUUGAUAAGCAGAAUUUUAGAGAAGUACAAAAGUAUUGCAUGUGGUUCAAUAUUAAAAAAUUGUUGUAACCUAAGCUUUCCCAUAAGAUAAAACAUUUUUGAUUUUUUCAUAUUUCAGUGAGACGAUCUCUUAAUCAAAGUGUCGUGUGUAUAAAACCUUAGAACUUAAGAAAUGUCAUUUUAUCUCAUCUUUUCUCAUCAUAUUAGUUUUGAGAAAGCAGACGUCUACAUCACGAUGUUUGUUUAUUUUGAUGAUACGUUUAUGUGCUGCUUUACUGAUCGAGCCUAUUAAAACAAAAUGAAAUGGUAUUCUAGCUCCAAAAAAAAUCUUACUUUACUUUACACUUUCACAAUUUCUUAGUCCAAACAAUAGAAUAAAUAUAGAAAAUUAAAAAAUGUCUGUGAGACAUGAAUGCUCCCGCCGCCUGGUGAAACUAGUUUCAGUGUUUGAUGUUCUAUAAAUGGUUACAACUACUUUGAUCCUGAUACCCUGAAAUAUGUUGACCUUGACCUUGGAACCCUGACACACAAAAACAAUGUCAGGAGGUAUUCUGUGAAUAAACUCUCAUCAAAAUAAGUUAAGAAGUGAAGAAGCUAGAGUGCUGACACUGAAUAGGUUGAUGAUUUUCUUGUAUAACUGUAACUGUGAUCCUUUUCUUAUUUUCAUUAUUGUUAUCAUAACUAUUAUUUAUGUAACUGUAUCUUGGUGGCUAUGUAUUAAACACAUUUGAUGGUAUUUCAUUGACA
rnacentral:lncRNA from 1 species